rnacentral:tRNA from 1 species
GUGGGUAUAGCUCAGUUGUAGAGUGCAUGCUUAGCAUGCGUGAGGUCCUGGGUUUGACCCCCAGUACCUCCA